GGGUGCGUAACGCGUAUGCAACCUACCCUUUACAGGGGGAUAACACUGAGAAAUCGGUACUAAUACCCCAUAAUAUUCUGGGAGGCAUCUUUCGGAGUUGAAAGCUUUGGUGGUAAAGGAUGGGCAUGCGUUGUAUUAGCUAGUUGGUAAGGUAACGGCUUACCAAGGCGACGAUACAUAGGGGGACUGAGAGGUUAACCCCCCACAUUGGUACUGAGACACGGACCAAACUCC
rnacentral:rRNA from 1 species